rnacentral:rRNA from 1 species
UACGUAGGGUGCGAGCGUUAAUCGGAAUUACUGGGCGUAAAGUGUGCGCAGGUGGCCGCGCAAGUCGAGUGUGAAAUCCCCGAGCUUAACUUGGGAAUUGCGCUCGAAACUACGUGGCUCGAGUGUGGCAGAGGAAGGUGGAAUUCCACGUGUAGCGGUGAAAUGCGUAGAGAUGUGGAGGAACACCGAUGGCGAAGGCAGCCUUCUGGGCCAACACUGACGCUGAGGCGCGAAAGCUAGGGUAGCAAACGGG